rnacentral:lncRNA from 1 species
UUUUUUUUUUUUUUUUUUUUUUGUGAGAGGUGAGCUCCAGCCCUUCUACUCCAACAUCUCCUAUGGCCCUUUCUCAGGAAGUUAUGGGGGGAAGUAUCCCACCCCCCACAAAAGAAGGGAAGAAUCCAAGAAAGGAUAAAGUGGGACCAGGUUUCAGGAGAUGCCCUGGGGGAGGGUGGAGGAAAGUUUAAGAAUCCAGGUGCUGUUUGCAGCAAACCUGACAGCAGCUGUGGGCUGGAGGCUCUUAAGGGCUGUUGAUUUGGUGUCUGAUGAGGGUCUGCUUCCCGAUUCAUAGAUGGCUUGCUGUGUCCUCAGAUGGUAGAAAGCCUUUUUUUCCUGAUCACUUGUUUUUUGUUUUGUUUUGUUUUUUUUUUUUUGGUCUUUUUUUAGGGCCAAACCAGCAGUUUUUUAGGGCCAAACCAGGGUAUGGGUCAAAUUAGAGCUGUAGCCACUGGCCUACACCACAGCCACAGCAACGCCAGAUCCCAGCCAUGUCUGCAACCUACACCACAGCUCAAGGCAACGCCAGAUCCUUAGCCCACUGAGCGAGGCCAGGGAUUGAACCUGUGUCCUCUUGGAUACUAGUUAGAUUCAUAUCUGCUGAGCCACGAUGGGAACUCCUGAUCACUUGUUAACAUCCUAGGGAGGAAACACUUUGGGAAAUUAUGAUCCAGUUGGUAUAUCUCUGAGGUCCAGAAGAUCAGAAAACAUGAACAGCCUAAAUUAAAACCAAAGGCCCCUACAUCCCUCUAGUGCUCCUCUCAAAAUCCUCUGAGCCUGAGUUUCAGACAUUUCCUGGACAUGGCCAAAGAGGUUCCAUGAGGGUCAAAAUUUGCAACACAUGUUCAGAUUUCAUGUGGGAUCCUAUAUUUGACGUUUUAAACAGAUUUCAAAACCCAGCUCUGAAGCCUCCCUGUCUUCCUCCACUCCAGAGAAAGAUCUUGGAUCUGAUUCUUUGUCAAAGCAAACAGGUACAAAGUGUUUUCUGAUUCCUGACUAUCGCUACUGACUACACCCAGCCAACUCUCUCAUAGACCAACUACCUGCACUUUGUACAGUUCUUCCUAAAGCCAUGUUAUUUUAAAAUUUAAUUGUGUUUGAGCAAAAGGGUGUGGCUAAAGGGGUGCCUACUGUUUAAUCAGUAACAGAGUGGCAGAUAAACAAAGUGCUUUCAGCUGGGCCUGGCACAGUUUGGUACUUAAUUCUUCCUAAAGUGGCCUGUGAAAUAAGAGUACUUGAUUCAACUUAUUGUGCUCUUGGCUGUCUUAUCAUCCCAAGUGGCUAGAUUACAGGUGUCUGUCUCUCCUCCACUCGGCCAACUGUGUGAUGCUGUGAGUGGCUUUGACAACUAAUGCUCAUUAAUCCUACCCGAGUGAGUGCCACUGGGAUUGCUAAUAGCCCCUGGAUUCAUUCAUUUUUUUCUCACUCGAAAUACUGGACAGGAGUUCCCGUCAUGGCUCAGGAGAAAUGAAUCUGACUAGUAUCCAUGAGGAUACAGGUUCGAUCCCUGGCCUUGCUCAGUGAAUUAAGGACCCGGCGUUGCUGUGAGCUGUGGUGUAGGUCGCAGACACGGCUGGGAUCCCACAUUGCUGUGGCUCUGGUGUAGGCCGGUGGCUACAACUCCUAUUGGACCCCUAGCCUGGGAACCUUCAUAUGUCGAGAGAACAGCCCAGGAAAUGGCAAAAAGACAAAAACAAACAAACAAACGAAACCAACAAAACCAUAUAUGUAGAUACAUACAGAGAGUGAAUGCAGAUGUGGUAGGAUAUUAAUAAUUAGGGAACGUAAGUGGGGAGAAUACGGAAGUUCUUGCAACUUGUCUGUAAUCUGAAAUUAUUUCAAAGUAGAUAUAUAUUCAUGUUUAAAAUAAACAUAAAACAUAUGCCCACACUAAAAUGUAUGCACACAUAUUCAUAACAGCAUUAUUUAUAAUAGCCCCCAAAGUGUAAAUAAUCAAAAUAUCCACCAACUGGAAUGGAUAGAUAAAACAUUGUAUAUCUAUACAAUGAAAUAUUCUACUAAGUUUCUUUUGGGUUGAUUAAAAAGCUCUCAAAGUGACUGUGGUGAUGGUUGCACAAUUUUGGGAAUAUACUAAAAACCACUAAGUAUACACUUUAAGUGGGUAAAUAGUACAUGAGAUGUAUCUCAAUAAAACUUCAAAAGAAAAAUAAAUUUCACACAUACACAAUGAAGUCAUAUGAUUUUCUAGGCCACAGGCAGACAAAGAGAGAAGAGAGGAACUCUGAAAAUCUUUCACUAAGCAAGAAGAGCCCCAACAUGAGUAGUUCCACCAAGGGACAGGGCUUCCCUUCUGUCUGUCUGGGUCUUAUCUCUCAUUCUAAGUCCCAUUUCCCUGAAUAGAAUUGGAGGCAAAAUAGUGUAAAGGUUAAAGAGCUGAUUCUGCAAUCAGAUUGCCUGAAUUUGAAUCCAAAUCUAUUAUGACCUGUGUGACUUUUUGGACAAAUUAAUCUCUCUCUGCUCUGUUACAAAAAUGGGGAUAACUGACUGGGUUAUUGUGAGAAAUAAUGACUUAAUCCAAUGAAAAGUGUUUUAAAAAGUAUCUGUCAGAGUUCUCAUUGUGGCUCGGUGGGUUAAAAACCCAAUAUAUUGUCUGUGAGGAUGCGGCUUUGAUCCCUGGCCUCACUCAGUGGGUUAUGGAUCUGGCAUUGCCACAAGCUACAGCAUAGGUCACAGAUGCGGCUCAGAUCUGGCAUUGCUGUGGUUUCAGUGUAGGCCUGUAGGUGCAGCUCCCAUUUGACCCCUAGCUAGGGAACUUCCAUAUGCCACAGGUGUGGCUGUUAACAAAAAAAGAAAAAGAAACAAAAAAGUAUCUGUCAAUGAUUGACUCUCUAUAUUUUUUAAAAGUUUCCCAUGAGGUUGUCUUUUCUUUCUUAGCGGCCCCAAUCCAUUUCAUCCUUAUUACAUGCUACCUCCAACUAAUCAGACACAAGCUUGAUGUAAUACUGACCAACGAGUCCUAUGGUUCAUAAAGUCUACACCCCACCUUCCAUGGUCCUUUCUGUAUUCUGUUCCUCCCUAUCAUCUACCCAUUGUGAGAACUGUAGAAUAUGACUCAAAGAAUGUUGUUUUCAAAGGCCAGUCAUUGCUGGUCUUCUGUCAUAUUGUCACAGAUUGACUCCAAACUGCACAAGCACCUUGGUUUCCUGUCACCCUGCAGUCUGGACAAACAGAUAGGAGCUUAGGAAGGUCUAAUCACAAGAACUGACACUCAUUUCAUGCCACUGAUAUGUUAGCUGCUGUACAUGACUAAAAUUUCAUUUCAUCUUCACACAAACCCCAUUCUUGUUUUACACAUGAGGAACGUGAUAACCAGAAAAGUAUGUUAAAACUGCAUAGCUACUCAUGGAUAGAAUCAGAAUAGAGACAAGCUGUCUUCAGAUUCUAUUCUUUUAACCAUUGUGUUAUAUUGCCUGACUCUCCCCAGAGUGGGAAAGAACUUGCAGCUCAGGCCCUAUUCCAGGGUAGCCAAAGCAUUGGAGGUCUAAGAAAAUAUGCCUUAGAUAUUUAUGUGUCCUCACCUGCUUAGGACACUGCCUGACAUAUAAUAGCUCAAAAUGUUUGUCAAACUAAUCACCUGUGUAACAGAACAUCAAUUCUUAAUACAGAAUGAAUAUAUCCUCUGCAUUCAGAGUCCUGUUUCUACUUUCAGUACACUUCAGAUUAUUUUGGAGUCAGAGACUUCUUAAUUAGAAUUCUGGUUCUGCAAUUUGGUAGCUUUGUGACCUUGUACAAAGGCAUUUAACCCCUCUAAAUCUCCAAUCUCUAAUCUGGAAAAUGUAAAAAGUAGGUAGAAAAUAAUACCUACUUUAUGGCAUUUUUAUUCCCACAGAAUAAACUUGCAAUGCUAAACAUACAGUAGUUACUUAAUAAAUAUUAUUACGCGUCCCCUUAUCCUUUUUUCCAAAUAGACCUUGUAAGAGGUCAGCUAUCUGUUGGUUCCCAAUUUAAAAUCAGUGAACACUAAUUAAAAUUCAAAGUAGAAUACAGAUUGAAUUGGGAAUUGGGAAACCUAUCUUCUGGCUUUUGUUGCCCUCCUUCUACCUAGCACCUACAUAACCUUGCUCAAGUCACCUGUUAGGGCUUCCAAUUCCCUACCUUAAAUUAGAGAACAGGAGUUCCCAUUGUGGCUCAGCAGGUUGAGAAUCCAACUAGUAUCCAUGAGGAUGUGGGUUCGAUCCCUGGCUUUGCUCAGUGGGUUAAAGGAUCCAGUGUUGCCAUGAGCUGCAGUGUAGUUCACAAAUGCAGCUCGGAU